rnacentral:rRNA from 1 species
UCCUACGGGGGGCAGCAGUAGGGAAUAUUGGUCAAUGGGGGAAACCCUGAAGCAGCAACGCCGCGUGGAGGAUGAAGGUUUUCGGAUUGUAAACUCCUUUUGUUAGAGAAGAUAAUGACGGUAUCUAACGAAUAAGCACCGGCUAACUCCGUGCCAGCAGCCGCGGUAAUACGGAGGGUGCAAGCGUUACUCGGAAUCACUGGGCGUAAAGAGCGCGUAGGCGGGAUAGGAAGUCAGAUGUGAAAUCCUAUGGCUUAACCAUAGAACUGCAUUUGAAACUGUUAUUCUAGAGUAUGUGAGAGGUA